rnacentral:rRNA from 1 species
GAUGAACGCUGGCGGCGUGCCUAAUACAUGCAAGUCGAACGAACAGAUGAUGAGCUUGCUCCUCUGACGUUAGCGGCGGACGGGUGAGUAACACGUGGAUAACCUACCUAUAAUACUGGGAUAACUUCGGGAAACCGGAGAUAAUCCCGGAUAAAAUAUUGAACCGCAUGGUUCAAUAGUGAAUGACGGCUUUGCUGUACCUUAUAGCUGGAUCCGCGCCGAAUUAGCUAGUUGGUAAGGUAACGGCUUACCAAGGCAACGAUGCGUAGCCGACCUGAGAGGGUGAUCGGCCACACUGGAACUGAGACACGGUCCAGACUCCUACGGGAGGCAGCAGUAGGGAAUCUUCCGCAAUGGGCGAAAGCCUGACAGAGCAACGCCGCGUGAGUGAUGAAGGUCUUCGGAUCGUAAAACUCUGUUAUUAGGGAAGAACAGAUGUGGAAGUAACUAUGCACGUCUUGACGGUACCUGAUCAGAAAGCCACGGCUAACUACGUG